GCAAACAUUUAAAUAAGUUUCUAUCAAACCAGUCCCUAUGACAUUAUUUGAAGAAUUUAGGAUUAUCUCAAACAUGAACAUCACAUAAAUUAUGUCUCCAAUAAUUUAUAAUUCUGAAUAUUUAAUUCACAUCAAAAAUGAAGUUACAUCAAAAAAGUCUAGCCAUGGGUUGAUUCUGUGUCGAAUAUUUUGGCUAUUAAAUUUUUUUUUUUUAGCUUUUAUUAAGAUGGUAAGCUUUCAGCAAAAAAUUCUUAGCGCACUGAAUACAUCAAUGUAGUUAUUAAAUCACACAUUAGUAAUGUCAGCUAGAAGUAAAAAAUCAUGCUAAGCCUAAGAUUAAAGAACAACUUUUGCAAAAAGAGCCGUCGAUAUAUGCACUAUUAAACAAAAUGACGUGUAGUACAUAUCAAAAAAUGACGUUCAACUCGAAAUUUUUUGGUUCAUACAUGUGACUCUGGACACCUAUUGAUGGCGGGCAACGAGCGUUUCAAUUAUCCCAUCAUCAUAUUCAGUAUGCAAAUCAGCCGGGAAUAGUUGGGGGUCUAACAACGAGCCAACAAGUCAAUGCUUUUCCAUUUUUGUCAAGGCAAAAAAUGUUGUGCAGCGAAGUAGGAAAUGCAAAACAACUAGAAUAACAACACAACAGGGGAGAAACAGAACGGACAUGUCGCAUAAUUUAAUAAUAUCCAAGUCCAUUGUCGAUUCCGAUUUCGAUAUAGAUUUCACGGUAUUCGCAUUAAUUGACACUCGGGGCAAAUUGAAUUUCAUGUAUAUGAAUUUCAAGCAUACAUAAGUAAAGUAAAUGAAAAAGAAAGAAAAACAAAAACGAGACACAAAGUAUCAGGGCAGAAAUUAAUGCAACAAAAUUUGCCUACGGAACCUAAAGCUACGCAAAUUGAAAAUAUAAGAAGCUACACAGACGAACACAAAAAGUCGCAUAAAUAAAAAUAAUUAAAUAAUUAAUGUCA